rnacentral:tRNA from 1 species
AGACCCGUAGCUCAGCUGGUUAGAGCGCUGUCUUGACAUGGCAGAGGUCGAUGGUUCAAGUCCAUUCGGGUCUACCA